UACGUAGGGGGCUAGCGUUGUCCGGAAUCAUUGGGCGUAAAGAGCGUGUAGGCGGCCCGGUAAGUCCGCUGUGAAAGUCGGGGGCUCAACCCUCGAAUGCCGGUGGAUACUGUCGGGCUAGAGUGCGGAAGAGGCGAGUGGAAUUCCUGGUGUAGCGGUGAAAUGCGCAGAUAUCAGGAGGAACACCAAUUGCGAAGGCAGCUCGCUGGGACGUAACUGACGCUGGAGACGCGAAAGCGUGGGGAGCAAACAGG
rnacentral:rRNA from 1 species